AUUGAACGCUGGCGGCAUGCCUUACACAUGCAAGUCGAACGGUAACAGGUCUUCGGAUGCUGACGAGUGGCGAACGGGUGAGUAAUACAUCGGAACGUGCCUAGUAGUGGGGGAUAACUACUCGAAAGAGUGGCUAAUACCGCAUGAGAUCUACGGAUGAAAGCAGGGGAUCGCAAGACCUUGUGCUACUAGAGCGGCCGAUGGCAGAUUAGGUAGUUGGUGGGAUAAAAGAUUACCAAGCCGACGAUCUGUAGCUGGUCUGAGAGGACGAUCAGCCACACUGGGACUGGGAACAGGCCCAGACUCCGCCGGGAGGCAGCAGUGGGGAAUUUUGGACAAUGGGCGCAAGCCUGAUCCAGCAAUGCCGCGUGCAGGAUGAAGGCCUUCGGGUUGUAAACUGCUUUUGUACGGAACGAAAAGCCCUGGGUUAAUACCCUGGGGUCAUGACGGUACCGUAAGAAUAAGCACCGGCUAACUACGUGCCAGCCGCCGCCGUAACAC
rnacentral:rRNA from 1 species